GGGUUCGCGCCAUUUUCCUGCCUCAGCCUCCCGAGUAGCUGGGACUAUAGGUGCCCGCCACCACGCCCGGCUAAUUUUUUGUAUUUACAGUACAGACGGGGUUUCACCGUGUUAGCCAGGAUGGUUUCGAUCUCCUGACCUCGUGAUCCACCCGCCUCGGCCUCCCAAAGUGCUGGGAUUACAGGCGUGAGCCACCGCGCCCGGUGGAAAGGCCACUUUUUUACAGUAUGAGCCCUGAAACAAAAAGGCAAAGCAAGGUCUGUUCACCUUCAGCUGAGAACGUGAGGAUUGGUUCAGGAGUACAUGCGCAGGUUUGUCAUAUAAGCAAAUUAUGUGUCACAGAAGUUUGGUGUAUGGAUUAUUUCAUCACCCAGGCCGUUUCUCAGCGUUGGAUGUGCAAGCAGUUUUGAGAGAUGAAGUCAUGACUCCCUACAAGACAAAAAACAGGUUUGCUUAUUUUGCUACAAACCAAUAAGUUCUUCAGCCAUGCUGCAAAUCCACUGUGUAUCCAGUUCCCAUCUGCGGCCCGCACAUCAUCCCCAUGGGACUUGAGAGCAAGAGGAUCCCACGCAAAUCAUGUUGCUUGCUGUGCUGUGAGUAAAAUGUCGUUUGUCUAUGACUCAGAAGUCUUGUAUCUUCUAUUAGCAUCCAUGAAACACUGGCAGGCUAACUCGUUAAAAUAACCCAAAAUCAAAUUCCAAGUCUGAAAGACACUAGAAUGGCGUAUGGUAUUUUGUUAAAAUUGGAGGGAUGGGGAUGAGCUCAUAGUUAUAAAGAUAAAUGAUAGAUAUUAGAUUAAUGUAUAGACAGAUAUUGGUGUGUAUGUAUAAAUAAAUGUUUUUACAAAGACAAAUGUUUUUACAAAGUAGAUUGCUACAGGGUUCGUAUAGCCCUUAGCUCUUCGUUUAUAAAUACCUUUCGUCUCUAAAAAGAUCCAGGGCUCCCUGGAGAACUGGCUAAUUCUCGGGCAUGGAAUGAAAAAAUACAAGAUGAACCUGGAGAAGCUUUCUGUGUCAGAAAGUAAGAACGUGCUCAAAGAAUGAUGGGACCAUGUGAAAAGGACAUAGGCGUCUGUUUGAAAGGCAUCCCACUGGCCAAAUAUAGGAUAACUCUGAGGAUAAAAAUGUCAGUAAAGAAUUAUAACCCACUGAAAUAAAAAAUGAUAAAUGGAUAAAUGAAGGCAUUAUUUAUAGGACAAUGACAGCUUAUACAUUUUAAAAGAAAAAUGAGAUACAAGAUCAACAUUUGGCAAACACCAUAAUAAUUGUUUCUGGCAAGAAACAUCCAUGAAAGCUAAAAACUAAUGGAUGCAAAUUGAUGAGAAAGAUAAUAUUUAUAUAACCUCAAAGUAUCUCCUUCAUAAAAUACUUAUUAGUGACAAAGUGAAGAUGGUGACUCUACAAUGGAGGAACCUGGCAGACAGCAUCUUAACCAAGGGAUCAAGAUGGAACAAUUGUGUACCAUAAUGUACAUUCUCAUAUCAGGCGCUAAGUACACAACAUCACUUUUGUGCUACUCUGCACAAAACCCAUAACUGAAACCUAACUCUGAGGAAACAUCAGAUAAAAACAAAAUGAACAAUAUUCUUUGUAAUAAGUGAUCUGUGCUCUUCAAAAUGUGAAGGUCAUAAAAGACAGUUCCAGGUCAAAAGAGACCAAAGGUGCACAAUAACUAAAUAAAAAAAGAACCUUAUAUUAGAUUUUGCAGAAGAAACUAUUUUUUGCCCUUUCUUUAAACACUAUUAAUGGGAAGUUGGUGAAAUUUGAAUAAAGUCUGUACGUGAGUUAAUA